AAUAUACAUGUGCAGUCAUUACCCAAACCAAGGGAGAGUAUUGCCAUUAUCCCAGAAGCUCUCUCAUGUUCCUCUUAAGUAAUUUACCUCCUCCUUCAGAUGACACUUAUCUGACUUCUAUUGCCACAGAUUCUUUUUGCCUAGUUUUUGAACUUUAUGUAGAUGAUAUCAUAUAGUAGGUACUCUUCUGUACCUGGCUCAUUUUGUUGAUUUCUAUGAGAUUCAUCCAUAUUGUUUAUAUAGCAAUAAAAUAUCCCUUUUCAUUGUAAAAUAUCCCAUUAUAUGAAUACACCAGCAUUUAUUUAUCCGUUCUAUUUGUUUAUGGCAUUUGGUUUGUUUCUAGUUUGAGGAUGUUGUGAAUAUUCUCAGCCUAGGAUAUAAGUACAUUCAGCUUUAAUAGAUAACAAUUAAUUUUCUGAAGUAGUUGUACUAAUUUACCUUCCUAACAGCAAUAAUUAUGACCUCCAGUUGAUACCCAUCCCACCAACACCCAGUACUGUAAGUCUUUAAAAUUAUAACAAUUUAGGUGGGUGAGAGAUGGUUUCUUAGAGUUUUAAUUUACUUUCUCUUGAUGACUAAUGAUGUCAAGCACAUUUUUAUAUGCUUAUUGGCCAUUUUUAUCAUCUUAUUUUGUAAAAUACCUAGUCAUACACUUGACUUUUUUCCUUAUCAGGUUGUCUUUUUUUAUAUACAUUCUGGACAAAUCUGUUCUUUAUGUUUUCUAUAUAUGAGUCCUUUCUUGGAUAUAGGUAUUCCAAAUAUUUGCCCCUAUUCUGGGUUGCAAAUUAUUUUAAAGAUAAACUUUUAUUUUUUUAUUUUUUAAAAAGAUUUUAUUUAUUUGACAGAGAGAGACACAGCAAGAGAGGGAACACAAGCAGGGGGAGUGAGAGAAGCAGGCUUCCCGUGGAGCAGGGAGCGUGAUACAGGGCUCGAUCCCAGGACCCUGGGAUCAUGACCUGAGCCAAAGGCAGAUGCUUAAUGACUGAGCCACACAGGUGCCCUUAAAGAUAAACUUUUAGAACAGUUUUAAGCUUACAGAAAAAUCACAGAUAGUACACAGCAUUCCCAUAUACACUAUACCCACUUUCCUCUAUUAUUAACAUUCUACAUUAGUAUGGUGUAUUUGUUAUAGCUAAUGAAUCAAUAUUGAUACAUUAAUAUCAACUAAAAUUCAUAUUUUAUUCAUAUUUUCUUAGUUUUUAACUAUUUUUUUUGUUUUAGGAUCCUAUCUAAGUUGUCAUGUUACAUUUAAGUGUCAUGUCUUCUUAACCUCCUCUUGGUUGUGAUAGUUUAUUAGAUUUUUUCAUUGUUUUUGAUGGCCUUGAGAGUUUUGAAGGGUACUAGUGAGGUAUAUUGUAGAAUGUUCUUCUAUCAGAAUUUGAUGUUUUUCUCAUGAUUAAACUGGCAUCAUGGGCUUUUGGGAGGAAGACCACAGAGGAAAAGUGUCAUUUUCAUCACAUCAUAUCAAGAAUACAUACUAUCAACAUGAUUUGUUGCUGCAGAUGUUAACCCUGCUCACCUUGUUGAGGUAGUGUUUGUCAGAUUUCUCUUCCAAAAAGUUUUUUCUCCAUUUAUAUACUGGAUCCUUUAGUAGGAAGUCUCUAUCCUCAGCCCACACUUCAGGAGUGGAGAGUUAUGCUGUUAUGCUCCCCAUCCUUGAGGGCAGAGAUCUAUAUAAAUUAUUUGGAAAUAUUUUGCAUAGAAGAUUUAUCUCUUCUCCACAAUUUAUUAAUUUACUCAAUCAAUUUAUAUCAAUAUGAACUCAAAAAUAUUUAUUUUAUAUUUUGAAUUAUAAUCCAAUGCUAUUUUAUUUUGUUGUUCAAAUUAUUCCAGCUUUGCCUAUUAGGAGCUUUUUCAGUGGCUUCUGUGCCCUUUAAUGGACCCCCAAUAUUGUGGGCUUUUUUUUUUAACACUUUCUUUCUGGCACUACAAAGAUGUUCUAGUCUCAUCAAAUUCCUGUUGAAGUCCUUGAAUCAGCCAUUUCUUCAAGGAGCUCUGAUUCCUUUUACUGGAGAAUGAUAAAGAAACCAAGAUCUGGGUACUAGGUGGGCUCAUCACUACUGGAAUAUCAUUGCUUCCAGGCCUUCUCAGCUGAUAGAGCAAGGGGAAUGAGUGAGUAAUUCUGUUGGAGAGAAUACUGGAGAAAGCUCCAUGCAGCAGCUAGUCUUUAAACUCUUCUGCCACAAGAGGACCACUCUGGGCAACAGUGUGACUGAGGCUUGGGAAUGGAGACUCUCAAGGGAAAGCUGUGGAUGAUGCCAGAACACAAGCCCUGGAAAUACUGUGAACAUAUGAAGGAUUCUGUUCAGCUGUUAAUGGGAAGAAACUUGCCAGAAGAUGUGGGCUGGAACUGAUCCAUAGGAGCAACUAGCCAGGUGGCUGAAAAGCUUGCCAGGGCACAAGGGUAGGCUGGAGUCAGACUGUGCAGGCCACUGAGGAUAUUAAAUUCUCUCUGAACUGGAAAAAAAAAGAAUCACGGAUCAUCAAGGAUAGCUUGGAAGCUUGCUACUGCUCAAACACAUUUCAUAUUUUUAGAGGGUCCUGACUUUGCCUUGGGGAGUUAUGCCUGCCAAUGGUGGUGGAAAUGUCAAUGGAGGUCGUUAUUGUCUACUGGCCAAAAGGAGUCCUCAAUCCAGAGUGGGCUGUUGAAUACUAGUUUGAAGUGAAUGAAAACUAAUGUUAAGGAAGCAACACACAGUGCAGGAAUUAAUCUUGACUCCUGAAGCUGUACUGUAAAAAGGGAAUGAUUUAUGUACCUUUCCUUGGCCAGAGUCCCAGAGUAUCCCUAAGACAGAACCUGGAGCCCCAUGGACUGCCUGAUAUUACUAGUGUCUAGUUAUGUUUCAAGCAUGUUUCUAUUUGAAUAAAUAUAUAUACACAGGACUUAGACAAAGGAUCUAAAAAAACCUGAAUAAGGUAUGUAUUAUUUUUUAUUUUGUCACUGUCACCCAAGGAUAUACUUGGGCUGCAAAUAUCUGCAAUAGUUUAACUUAGCAUUAUAUAGAAAAGAUGGAUGUAGCAUAGGACUGGAUUGCUCAAAUGUUUCCUCUCAAAGUGGCUGAUUGCCUAAUAGAGUGCACUUAACUGCAGGGGAUGGGGGACAAAGCAGAGACGGGCCUAUUAUGAGUAAGACAUUUCUUUGAAAUUGUAUGCUUUAUAUUUAGAAAGUAAUAUAAAUUUUAUCUUCUAUGCCAUAGCUUAGCUGUGUUCAUAACAAUAUAAAAUUAAUAUAAAAUAUUUUAUCUUACUUAUAUUCCCCCAAAUCUACUGAAAAUUCAAGUCCCCACAAAAAUGGGCAGGAUUAUCCUGGAUUUAUGCCUUCUUGUGCUCUCUGUUCACCAUCACCUCUCCUCAGUUUGAAAAGCAUGGGUUUACUGUAUGUGUGGGGUUCAUUAGGAACUUCAAAAGAACAUUCUAAGGUGUUUUUAAGAGGUUACAUCGUUCCAUGGAAGAAUGUGACAAGGUUUAUUUCUAUGUUUUUUGAAGAGAAGAUAAAAAUAAAUACCUCUCUGCCCGUAUAUUUUUAACAUGGAAUGGAUAAUACUGUCUAUUGCAGUUUGAGAUGUUUGUAACUGCACUCCUAAGAAUUCCUUGAGAUUUCAAGACAGUUUAAACUACCUGCCUGAUAUUUCUGAUUUAACAUCCUAUUAGGCACCUUAAUCCCCAAAGUAUUAAAAUGCAACUUGGCCUAACUAGAUGUCUGCUUGAUUUUCCUAGAUCUGUCAAAGAUAUUACUAGAAAUCCAGCUCAGACCUGUAUAAUCCCCUUUCUUCUGCUCCUCUAUGUUAAGGACCAUACUCCAUAGAUCUUGACUGUGCCAUGUCCCUUCAUUCCUUUCCUUUAUGACCACUUCAUUUUUCUUUCCUGGACUAGUCAUUUCCAAAUUUGUAUUUCAACUUCCUCAUUCACCCUACUCCAAUCUUUCCUUCCUAUUACUGCUCCAGUCAUCUUUCUAAAUUCCAGAUAAGAGCAAAUUAUUCCUCACUAAAAAACAGAACACAAUAGAAUAGGACGUUUUAGCAGCUUUUAGUAACAAAUUAGGUAAAAAUUCCUCCCUUGGGGUACGAACUCUUUAUGGUUUCUAAAUUACUUCCUCUUUUUAUCUACAGAUAUCACGUUCCAGUGAAUUUUAAUUUGCUUCUGGUUUCUUGAGCAUGCCACACCUCAGCCAACCUCCAUACCUUUUCCUCUUCCUGGAAUUUCU